UACGGGGGGGGGCAAGCGUUGUUCGGAAUUACUGGGCGUAAAGGGCUCGUAGGCGGCCAACUAAGUCGGAUGUGAAAAUCCCCCAGGCUUAACCUGGGGAACUGCAUCCGAUACUGGAUGGCUUGAAUCCGGGGAGAGGGAUGCAGAAUUCCAGGUGUAGCGGUGAAAUGCGUAGAUAUCUGGGAGGAAAUACCGGGUGGC
rnacentral:rRNA from 1 species